ACAAAGCGGUAGCAGCAAGUAGAAAGGCCAUGCACAGGGAACCUUACCACAUGUUCAGGAAGCAGCUAGGAUGUCAGCUUUGUGGCCGGCAAGGAGUGAGUUAAAGAGGAGUCCUAUAGAGGUCAGAGAGCAAACGCGCGAUCACGUGAUCCCAAGGAAGCUAGAAAACCAGUGAGGAAUUCAGAGUAGCCCAGGGAGAAGCUCUGAUUUCCUGCUGAAAAGGGUUACUCUGGCAUCUGGGCGGAAAAAAGGAAGAAAGAGGAGACCAAGCAGGAGGAGGCUGCUAUCAUCCGAUGUGCUGUAAUAGGGAUCUACUGCACCAGUCCGUGGCUUAGGAACUGGGCCACACAGCAGGAGAGAGACUUCUAUACUGUGGGUUAAGGAAGGAAACCAGGCCCUGAGCUUCAGUAGUUCUACCAGUGCUUCUCAAGUGUCAGCUUUUCCUCAUCCUCUAGCCGCCCUCCCAGAGGAUCCUGGGAGGCGAGGCAGGAACGGCCUGCUUGGGGAGCCAGCGAGUUUGCAGGGCCUUUUCUGCUGCUUCCUGUACCCCGGUAUUUCACUCGGCUCUCUAAAUGGACUCAGCUCCAGAUAUAGGCACGCUUCAGAGAUUGCAGAGUUAAUUGCAGACCACUGCAAUAAAGUAAGUAUCACCAUCAACCAAAUCACACAAAUUUUUGGGUUUCUUAGAAAAUAUAAAAGUUAUAUUUAUACUAUACUGUAGUUCAUGAAGUGUGCUAUAACAUUGUGUCUUUAAAACAAAAAAAUAAUUUAAAAAUGCUUCCUUGCUAAAAAAAUGCUAACAAUCAUCUUAGCUUUUGGCGAGAUGAAUCUUUUUCUGGUGGAAGGCUUUGCCUUGAUGUUAAUGACUGAACAAUGGUAAGGGUCGUGGUGGUGGCUGAAGGUUGGAGAGCAUGUGGCAAUUUCUUAAAAUAAGACUGUAAGGUCUAUUACCGAGUUAAAAUGAGGAAACUGAGGCCAGUGUGAGAAAAUGAAAAGCCAAUUUAUUCAGCUCCGAGGCAAAGUUCUCUGGUCUGCGAAAGGGCCAGAGAAGUCGCCCUUGACUUCUCAGGGCGUGGGGUUUUAUGGGGAGUGGAGGCGAUUGAUUGGUUAUUGGGGAAACAAAGCAUAGGCGAUUUAAUUGGUUAUAGGGAGACAGGGCGUGGCUGUGGUGAGCUGCCAUUGGUAGGUAGGUGGGACUACUGGUGGGUGGGCUGGCUGGGGAUGUGAUUGGUUAUUGGGGAAACAAAGCAUAGGCGAUUUCAUUGGUUAUAGGGAGACAGGGCAUCUAUGUGGUGAGUUGCCAUUGGUAGGUGGGCAGGACUACUGGUAGGUGGGCUGGCUAGGGAAGUGAUUGGUUACUGGGGAAACAAAGCGUAGCAAGUUUUGGCGAGGUGUUUUUGGCCUUGGGCUGGGGGGUUGAGCGCUUAGUUUGGUGCUGAAUGUAGAUCUGGGUGCAAUAGCAGAGGUAAGUGUGGAGAAUUCACGUGGAGAAGCCAGAUGCUGAGUAAUGUGCUCAGAAUAAUAACGCAGUUAUCAUGCACAAGCGGGGAUGGGCGUGUCCGUCUAACUCCGGGUGAGGCAACUGGCCUUACAAAGACAACAACGGAAUUUGCAGUACUCAUUCAUUCAUUCUUUUCCAUGAAAGAUUUUUCUGUAGCAUGAGACGCUGUUUGGUAGCAUUUUACCCACAGUAGAACUUCAUUCAAAAUCGGAGUCAUUCUUCUCGAACCCUGCUGCUACUCUGUAAACUAAAUCUAUGUAGCAUUCCAUAUCCGUGGUUGUCGUUUCAAUAAUGUUUACAGCAUCUUCACCAGGAGUAGAUUCCAGCACUAGAAACCACUUUCUUUGCUCACCUGUAAGAAGCAACUCUGCAUUCAUUCAAGUUUUAGAGUUUUAUCUUUAAUGUCUUAAUCAAACAUCUCUUCUUUAAUGAAAAUUACUGUUUUUUUGUUUGUUUGUGUUUGUUUUGCAUGAAGGCACUAGGUGUAAAUCACUCAUUUAUUUGAAUGGAAAAGAAAGG
ensembl:lncRNA